rnacentral:rRNA from 1 species
UUAUCGGAGAGUUUGAUCCUGGCUCAGGACGAACGCUGGCGGCGUGCCUAAUACAUGCAAGUCGAGCGAAUCUUGAGGGGCUUGCCCCUUGAGAUUAGCGGCGGACGGGUGAGUAACACGUGGGCAACCUGCCUGUAAGACUGGGAUAACACCGGGAAACCGGUGCUAAUACCGGAUAAUUCUUCACCUCUCAUGAGGUGAAGCUGAAAGUCGGUUUCGGCUGACACUUACAGAU